GAGACACCCUUAUGGGGCAGGACUUACUUCAGUGGGGCUUUGGUGCUCGCUCACUGAGUCUGCCCCUUGAGUGUGUCUCU
rfam:Myotis lucifugus cont2.18426, whole genome shotgun sequence.